UCAGGAGCACAGUAGUUCAGA
rnacentral:miRNA from 1 species